CCGAGUUUACAACUCCAAACCCCUGUGAACAUACCACUUGUUGCCUCGGCGGAUCAGCCCGCUCCCGGCAAAACGGGACGGCCCGCCAGAGGACCCCUAAACUCUGUUUCUAUAUGUAACUUCUGAGUAAAACCAUAAAUAAAUCA
rnacentral:misc_RNA from 1 species